rnacentral:lncRNA from 1 species
UUCUGCCAUAGGUUCACCACCACUGGCCUCAGGGAGCCAGCGUCCCUGCCAGCAAGCAUCUGAUAGCAGCCCACAAGAUCAAAACAUCAUACUGACUGUUUUCCACUUAUGUAUGGAGGGCUCGUCAUGAUUUCAGCUGCUUAUAGAAUACUUCUCCACACAAGUCUUGCUUCCUGUGCCUGCAAAGGAAGAAAAAUAUCAAAUGUUCACAGAGGAAGGCUGUAGAAGUCUAGUGAAAAGGACUCCCCAGGUGUCUCCUACCCCCAGUUGUGCCGGCAUCUUGCGGAGCCCCUCUUCCUUCCACCGGAAAACUGAUUUCUCACAUCUCCAGCGAGGUCCCUGAGACCUAGAGGACACCCACAGCAGCUCACCAAGAUGUCCAGUUUCCCUCCAAGUGUGUGCUUCUGAUGCCACCUCUUCCCCAGGACCUCUGAG